rnacentral:rRNA from 1 species
GACGAACGCUGGCGGCGUGCUUAACACAUGCAAGUCGAACGGAAAGGCCCUGCUUUUGUGGGGUGCUCGAGUGGCGAACGGGUGAGUAACACGUGAGUAACCUGCCCUUGACUUUGGGAUAACUUCAGGAAACUGGGGCUAAUACCGGAUAGGAGCUCUUGCUGCAUGGUGGGGGUUGGAAAGUUUCGGCGGUUGGGGAUGGACUCGCGGGUUAUCAGCUUGUUGGGGUGGUAGGGGCUUACCAAGGGUUUGACGGGUAGCCGGCCUUGGAGGGGGACCGGGGACAAGGGGACUGAGGGACGGCCCAGACUGGUACGGGCGGCAGUAGUCGGGAGCAUUACAGAAUGAGCGGACGCGUGAGACAGAGACGCCGCGUGCGGGAUGACGGCCUUCGGGUUAUGAACCGAUUUCGCCUGUGACAAGGCGUGAGUGACGGUAAUGAGUAAGGAAGCACCGGCUAACUACGUG